AGACGACAGAAAUAAAAAGCAGCAGCAUAAGGAAAGGCUGUGAGGGGAUGAAAUGGUUCUACACCAAAACAGCAACAACAAAGCCAACAUUCAUUUCAGGCUCAGUGGUACAUUUCUGCAAGGAGUAAAGUUUUAAACACAAAUGUACUAUAAAAUCAGGCAAUUUAAAAAUUUAAAACUUAAAGAGGUUGUGUUUUUAGGCGUUUAUCAUUUGCAUUGACAUGUUUAAUGUAAUGUUUUAAAUACAUUAAAAAAUGAUUAAAUCAGCAAUUCAAAAAAGAAAAUAAGAAUAAAAUUAAGAAACAUAUUUCCUUCCGCCAUCUUUCCCAGCUUGGUUGCGUCACUUAUGGGAGAAGGUUCUGGAAGGUGGGCGGGGCUUAGACCGGAUCAGACCCGCACUCCGCCGAGUCGAGUCCGGCUCCUCGUUCUUUAACCGUCCAUGGAAGCUAAAGCUCGCCUCCUUUUACUGUUAAUAAGAACAAUCUGCUGAUUUUAGACCACUUGCUUUUCAAGCAUGAGCAAAACAAACCGUGGCCAGGAUUCAAGUGCUCAUAAUGAGAAACAGGCUCACAGCCAAACAGCAUCCUCUGACCCACAGCAUCAUACGUCUCUUUCAGCAAACU